rnacentral:lncRNA from 1 species
GAUACGGCAGCAGCAGGCAGUCCUGAGCGGCCGCUGCCAUCGCGCCGGCUGCAGCGGAAAGGUACAAGCGGUGGCGGCAGGAGCCGCUGUGGGAGCAGCAGUGGCGGCAGUGGGAGCCCUGUGCCACGCGUCCCCUGUGCGCCGUGUCCCCAAGGCAGCUGACUACACCUCCCCCACCCUCCUGCAGCAGGGUGGAUCCCACCUAGCGGGACUCCCCACCCACCCCUCCAGGCCUUCUCCACUCCGGACUCUGGCCACUUGCCACCGUUGUCGCCCGCCGCCGCUGCAGGGAGGGUGCACGGAGGGAGCAGACCGUCUCCGGAGCCCGCCGCCCUGGGGGCUGCAGUGAUGGGGCCGGGCUGAGGCACCUGCCGGCGGGGUAGCAGGGCAGUCGAGCACGGAGGGAGGGGCGGGCCUCCAGGGGACUUCAGCGGGAGCCGGGCCUGGGGCGGUGCCGCACUUGCACACGGAGUGUGGGGGGCCAGGCCUGGGACCAGGAGCUGGGGCCGGGCUUCGGCGCAGAGGCAGGAAGAGGAAGCGGCACCCGCUUCGGGGACCCAGCCGGCGGCCAGGCCACCGCGCCCACCCGGCCGAUGGCACCGUGUUCCUGCGCCUCGGGAGGGAGGAGGCUCUGCGCGGGACUGCAGGUUCUGCCCCGCAUCGGAGUGAUCGCUGAGCCUGACGCUCUCGAAGGCUGGGCCUGGGGCCCGCAAUCUACUCCGGAGGCUUUCCCACUGGGCAGGGUCGCUAGCAGGGUGAGAGAAAGCCCCGGGCCAUCCCCGAGUGCCGGGGCCACAGGAAGAAUUUGUGGCGACAUCAUCCCUUCCCCAGGUGCCACCCGGGUGCAGUGAGGACCUGGAGCCCCUGCCCCAGGCUGUGAGGAGACUUGACCAGAGCUGCCUGAAUGCUCCACGGAGCAGCAGGAGGAAGCAUUCCCAUGUGAAAGAUGAGCUCCCUAUAAAAGCAACGCUCUUAUCAUCGAGAACAGAAAGUUGAAGCCAAGAGAGAGCUCCACAAGCUGACCUUGUUAAACUAACCCUUAUCUUCUUAGUCGCUUCUUUACCCAAUUAACUACCCUAGCCGAAGCCCCUUUGCCUUAUUACAUUUUGCAACAGUGUUCGUUGUCCAAUUCAGUAUACAAGUGAGUGACUCUGGAUGCUUUUUGGGGUCUUCGUUUCCUUAUGAGGGCUUCUGUGCCAUGUAAAACUUGUAUUAAAUAAAUUUGUAUGCUUUUCUCCUGUUAAUCUGUCUAUAUCGAUUGAACUUUAGGGUCCAGUCAGAACCCAAAGAGGAUGGAGGUGGAGUUUUGGCUCCUCUACAGCUAUCUGAAUAAUCAAAAUUCAAGAUAUUCCAUGUUCUUUCUGAGUUUCUUUGAAAUUAAAAAUGCAGACAACCACUCAACUAAUACGUCAGCGAGAUACGUUUUCUGUCCUUAUUGCCUUACUGAUGAAAUUGCCUUUAUUCAUAAAAAAUAAAUGUGGGAGUCUUGUUUAUUUAUUUCUAAUGACAUUAACUUGACAUUAACCUUGGUGCUCUUGGGAACCAUAAAUGGGCCCUGUACUACUUGUUACAGAGUAUAAAUUCCCAGAACUACAAGUACAUCAUAUUCCUCAAGUUACUGAAGAAUUUCAUGAUCCAUGUGUCAGGCCUCUGAGCCCAAGC